GACGAACGCUGGCGGCGUGCUUAACACAUGCAAGUCGAACGAUGAAGCCGGAGCUUGCUCCGGUGGAUUAGUGGCGAACGGGUGAGUAACACGUGAGCAAUCUGCCCUUGACUCUGGGAUAACUGCGGGAAACUGUAGCUAAUACCGGAUACGAGGCUCGAAGGCAUCUUCGGGUCUGGAAAGAAUUUCGGUCAAGGAUGAGCUCGCGGCCUAUCAGCUUGUCGGUGAGGUAUGGCUCACCAAGGCGACGACGGGUAGCCGGCCUGAGAGGGUGACCUGCCACACUGGGACUGAGACACGGGCCAGACUCCUACGGGAGGCAGCGGUGGGGAAUAUUGCACAAGGGGCGGAAGCCUGAUGCAGCAACGCCGCGUGAGGGAUGACGGCCUUCGGGUUGUAAACCUCUUUUAGCAGGGAAGAAGCGAAAGUGACGGUACCUGCAGAAAAAGCACCGGCUAACUACGUGCCAGCCGCCGCCGUAA
rnacentral:rRNA from 1 species